AUGGUGAACUGUAACAGUCGUCCUAAAGUGAGCGUCCUGCCGCCGUCCAGUGAAGAGAUUUCCACAAAGCAAACAGCAACACUGAUGUGUGUGGCCAACAAGGGCUUCCCCUCAGACUGGAGUCUGAACUGGAAGGUGGACGGGAUCAGCAGCAGGUCUCAGUACAGCAGUGUUGCUCUCCUGGAGAAGGACGGUCUGUACAGCUGGAGCAGCAGUCUGACUCUCUCUGAGCAGGAGUGGAGCUCAGUGAUCUCAGUCAGCUGUGAGCUCACACAGAAAGACCAGCGUGAUAAAGUCACUGGAGAAUUGAGGAGAGAUCAGUGUUCACAGUAG